rnacentral:tRNA from 1 species
AAAGACUUAGGUUAAUAAGACCAUGAGCCUUCAAAGCUUAAAGAGCGGGUUAAACUCCCACAGUCUUUG